GGCGUAAAGCGCACGCAGGCGGUCUGUCAAGUCGGAUGUGAAAUCCCCGGGCUCAACCUGGGAACUGCAUUCGAAACUGGCAGGCUAGAGUCUUGUAGAGGGGGGUAGAAUUCCAGGUGUAGCGGUGAAAUGCGUAGAGAUCUGGAGGAAUACCGGUGGCGAAGGCGGCCCCCUGGACAAAGACUGACGCUCAGGUGCGAAAGCGUGGGGAGCAAACAGGAUUAGAUACC
rnacentral:rRNA from 1 species